AAUCUUGCAAAAUGGGCGAAAGCGUGAUGCCGCAACGCCGUGAGAGGGAUGAAGGCAUAAGGUUCNACAAUCUCUUUGAACAGGGANGAUAAUGACAGUACAUGAAAACCCAGAUACGCCUAACUACGAUCUAGCAGCCGCGGUAAUACGUAGGUGGCGAGUGUUGUCCGGAAUUACUGGGCGUACAGGAGGCGUAGGUGGAUACUUAAGUGGGAUGUGAAAUCCCCGGACUCAACCCGGGAACUGCAUUCCAAACUGGGUAUCUAGAGUGCAGGAGAGGAAAGCGGAAUUCCUAGUGUAGCGGUGAAAUGCGUAGAUAUUAGGAGGAACACCAGUGGCGAAGGCGGCUUUCUGGACUGUAACUGACACUGAGGCAUGAAAGCGUGGGUAGCAAACAGG
rnacentral:rRNA from 1 species